GACGAACGCUGGCGGCGUGCCUAACACAUGCAAGUUGAGCGACGAACCAGGGCCUGCCCUGGGGCAAAGCAGCGAACGGGUGAGUAACACGUGGGUAACCUACCCCGAUAACCGGGACAACCCGAGGAAACUCGGGCUAAUACCGGAUGUGCUCACUGGACUUCGGUUCAGUGCGUAAAGGAAGCUUCGGCCUCCGUAUCGGGAGGGGCCCGCGGCCCAUUAGUUUGUUGGUGAGGUAACGGCUCACCAAGACCGCGAUGGGUAGCUGGUCUGAGAGGACGAUCAGCCACACUGGGACUGAGACACGGCCCAGACUCCUACGGGAGGCAGCAGUGGGGAAUCUUGCGCAAUGCGCGAAAGCGUGACGCAGCAACGCCGCGUGGGGGAAGAAGGCCUUCGGGUUGUAAACCCCUUUCAGGAGGGAUGAAGGUUCGGCGGUGAAUAGCCGUCCGGACUGACGGUACCUCCACAAGAAGCCCCGGCUAACUACGUG
rnacentral:rRNA from 1 species